UAGGGAAUCUUCCACAAUGGACGCAAGUCUGAUGGAGCAACGCCGCGUGAGUGAAGAAGGUUUUCGGACCGUAAAGCUCUGUUGUUGGUGAAGAAGGAUAGAGGUAGUAACUGGCCUUUAUUUGACGGUAAUCAACCAGAAAGUCACGGCUAACUACGUGCCAGCAGCCGCGGUAAUACGUAGGUGGCAAGCGUUGUCCGGAUUUAUUGGGCGUAAAGCGAGCGCAGGCGGUUUUUUAGGUCUGAUGUGAAAGCCUUCGGCUUAACCGG
rnacentral:rRNA from 1 species